GAUGAACGCUGGCGGCGUGCCUAAUACAUGCAAGUCGAGCGAACAGACGAGAGUGCUUGCACUCUCUGACGUUAGCGGCGGACGGGUGAGUAACACGUGGGUAACCUACCUAUAAGACUGGGAUAACUUCGGGAAACCGGAGCUAAUACCGGAUCAUAUUUAGCUUCGCAUGAAGCAAUAGUGAAAGACGGUUCUGCUGUCACUUAUAGAUGGAACCGCGGUGUAUUAGCUAGUUGGUGAGGUAACGGCUCACCAAGGCAACGAUACAUAGCCGACCUGAGAGGGUGAUCGGCCACACUGGGACUGAGACACGGCCCAGACUCCUACGGGAGGCAGCAGUAGGGAAUCUUCCGCAAUGGACGAAAGUCUGACGGAGCAAUGCCGCGUGAGUGAAGAAGGUUUUCGGAUCGUAAAACUCUGUUGUCAGGGAAGAAAAAGUACGUUAGUACCUGAACGUACCUUGACGGUACCUGACCAGAAAGCCACGGCUAACUACGUG
rnacentral:rRNA from 1 species